AUUGAACGCUGGCGGCAGGCCUAAUACAUGCAAGUCGAACGAGUGGCGGACGGGUGAGUAAUGCUUGGGAAUCUAGCUAAUGGAGGGGGAUAACUAGGGGCAACUGUAGCUAAUACCGCGUACCGUAGGAUGAGCUCAAGUGGGAUUAGGUUGUUGGUGUGGUAAAGGUUCACCAAGCCGACGAUGCCUAGCUGGUCUGAGAGGAUGAGCAGCCACACUGGGACUGAGACACGGCCCAGACUCCUACGGGAGGCAGCAGUGGGGAAUAUUGCGCAAUGGGGGAAAGCUGACGCAGCCAUGCCGCGUGAGUGAAGAAGGCCUUCGGGUUGUAAAGUUCUUUCGGUAGCGAAGCGUUACCUACAGAAUAAGCACCGGCUAACUCCGUGCCAGCAGCCGCGGUAAUUC
rnacentral:rRNA from 1 species